rnacentral:rRNA from 1 species
UGGGGAAUUUUGGACAAUGGGCGAAAGCCUGAUCCAGCAAUGCCGCGUGUGUGAAGAAGGCCUUCGGGUUGUAAAGCACUUUUGUCCGGAAAGAAAUCCUUGGCUCUAAUACAGUCGGGGGAUGACGGUACCGGAAGAAUAAGCACCGGCUAACUACGUGCCAGCAGCCGCGGUAAUACGUAGGGUGCAAGCGUUAAUCGGAAUUACUGGGCGUAAAGCGUGCGCAGGCGGUUUGCUAAGACCGAUGUGAAAUCCCCGGGCUCAACCUGGGAACUGCAUUGGUGACUGGCAGACUAGAGUAUGGCAGAGGGGGGUAGAAUUCCACGUGUAGCAGUGAAAUGCGUAGAGAUGUGGAGGAAUACCGAUGGCGAAGGCAGCCCCCUGGGCCAAUACUGACGCUCAUGCACGAAAGCGUGGGGAGCAAAACAGGAUUAGAUACCCUGGUAGUCCACGCCCUAAAACGAUGUCAACUAGUUGUUGGGGAUUCAUUUCCUUAGUAACGUAGCUAACGCGUGAAGUUGACCGCCUGGGGAGUACGGUCGCAAGAUUAAAACUUAAAUGAAUUGACGGGGUCAUAGCUGUUUCCU